GCAGGUGUCUGAUACACUGAUAAUAUGUCGAGGUGGAGGAGAUCCGGCAAAAGACCGUUGGCUGUCCCGCAAAAUGUUCUGACAAUUAGUAGCAAGAAUGGUCCAAGCCUGAGUCCAAAGCCAAGUGCGCUACUGCAUCAAAGAAUCGACUGAGCAAGACAAGUGGCCCUGGAUCUAGUCCUUCAUGCCAUAUUGGAGGUUCUAUCUCUAUGGUAG
rnacentral:lncRNA from 1 species